rnacentral:lncRNA from 1 species
CACAUAGCAAAUUAUAGGUCAUUGAACUUCACAUAUAUAAACAAUUUACGAUUGUUUCUCUGACGCAUCUGAAUGUGUCAUUUAUUUUGAAUAAUAACUGCAUCGUGCAUCUAUUGUGCUUUUAUGUGGAACUAAAAUAACACACCAACUGUGGCACAAAGGUUAGGAUUAUAUUGCCUUUCAGGCUUGUAUCAAGCAUGGGAAAGAAGGCUGUUUCCCUUCAUGAAUGCUUCCAUGGCCUGUGCCUUUGUGAUUGUUAGAGGACAUGAACCAUUACAGCGACAGUCAGUUGCAGAACCCUACCACCGUAUGUUCUUCGGAGGAAUUCUGAGAAGACCAAAAACAGAUCUGAUACUUCAAGAGUUUGUUGUUCUUGAGCAAAAAUGUAAACUUGUCUAGGUAUGUUUCACUCAGCUUAAAACUCAGUUCAGAGUUCUUAAAUACUUUAAAGCGUUGUUGUUAUUUGUUGCACUAGUUGUGUUGUUCUUGCAUGAAAAAUGUUGACUUGUUUGAAAAGCUUUGGAGGAACACAGAGAUCUUAGUUCACUACUUGUGUGUUUUCCCUGAUGAUCACUCUAUGGUUUGUUGUUCUUUCAUCAAAAUGUUGACUUGUUUGGCCAGCGUUGGAGGAACACACAGAUCUUAUCUCUCUUUGUUGUUCCACUAAUUGCUGUUAGUCAUGGAAUAUUGGAUGACUUUUAUUUGGGAUUGAUCUUCAUCUUCAUGCUAUCCGCCACAUAUUAAAGUCAUGGAGCGUCGCUUUCUCUGCACGCAGUCCAUUACCAUUACCAUUACCAUGAUUUCUCUAAAUCUUCUUUUGGCAUCCAUGUCGUCUUCUUUUUCUGGCUCGCUUGUCUUCUUAUUGCAUCUCCAUCGACUCCAUGCCUGUAAUUGAAUUCUCUUUGUCAACAAGUAGUAGAUGGCGUAAUGGCACUCGUCAUCUAAUGUCCUUAUAGGAGUAGCUCUGUGACCGUGUUCUUAACCAAUACUCACUCCUAGUCACCAAUUCACCUUCAAGCGGCCAUGGAGGACAGCGGCUCCGGUCACCGACAGCUCCACUUCGUCCUGCUCCCAUGGCUCGGGACGAGCCACACGAUACCCAUGAUCGACAUCGGCCGCAUGCUGGCCGAGCGUGGUGUGG